GAGAGAAUGAGUCUCAUCUCAAUGCAAUUCUGAUUUUGAAAACCAAAGUUUUACUUAGUGGUUAUUGGAUAUACAACACUUCCUUUAUCAUCCCAUGCUCAUACUAGUUAUGUCUUGAAGACUUGGUGCUUAUUUGGAUUUGUGUACUUUGGGGCCAAAAAGUUUUAUUUUAUUAAGAUUGUCCAAGGAG